rnacentral:tRNA from 5 species
GGGCGCGUAGCUCAGCGGGAGAGCACUACGUUGACAUCGUAGGGGUCACUGGUUCAAUCCCAGUCGUGCCCACCA